rnacentral:rRNA from 1 species
CGAAAGCCUGACGGAGCAACGCCGCGUGAGGGAGGAAGGCCCUUGGGUUGUAAACCUCUUUUGAUGGGGAAGAAUUCUGACGGUACCCAUCGAAUCAGCAUCGGCUAACUCCGUGCCAGCAGCCGCGGUAAUACGGAGGAUGCAAGCGUUAUCCGGAAUUAUUGGGCGUAAAGCGUCCGCAGGUGGCUUUUCAAGUCGGCUGUCAAAGCAUGGAGCUUAACUCCAUAGAGGCGGUGGAAACUGAAAGGCUAGAGGCCGGUAGGGGUAGUGGGAAUUCCCAGUGUAGCGGUGAAAUGCGUAGAGAUUGGGAAGAACAUCGGUGGCGAAAGCGCACUACUGGGCAGGACCUGACACUGAGGGACGAAAGCUAGGGGAGCGAAAGGGAUUAGAUACCCCUGUAGUCCUAGCCGUAAACGAUGGAGACUAGGCGUAGCUUGUAUCGACCCGAGCUGUGCCGAAGCUAACGCGUUAAGUCUCCCGCCUGGGGAGUACGCACGCAAGUGUGAAACUCAAAGGAAUUGACGGGGGCCCGCACAAGCGGUGGAGUAUGUGGUUUAAUUCGAUGCAACGCGAAGAACCUUACCAGGGCUUGACAUCUGUAGAACCUGAGUGAAAGCUUGGGGUGCCUUCGGGAGCUACAAGACAGGUGGUGCAUGGCUGUCGUCAGCUCGUGUCGUGAGAUGUUGGGUUAAGUCCCGCAACGAGCGCAACCCUCGUUCUUAGUUGCCAGCAUUAAGUUGGGCACUCUAGGGAGACUGCCGGUGACAAACCGGAGGAAGGUGGGGAUGACGUCAAGUCAGCAUGCCCCUUACGUCCUGGGCAACACACGUACUACAAUGGUCGAGACAGAGGGCAGCGACCUCGCAAGAGCAAGCGAAUCUCAUCAAACUCGGCCUCAGUUCAGAUUGCAGGCUGCAACUUGCCUGCAUGAAGGAGGAAUCGCUAGUAAUCGCCGGUCAGCAUACGGCGGUGAAUUCGUUCCCGGGCCUUGUACACACCGCCCGUCACACCAUGGGAGCUGGCCACGCCCGAAGUCGUUACCCUAACCCCGAAAGGGGAGGGGGAUGCCGAAGGCAGGGCUAGUGACUGGGGUGAAGUCGUAACAAGGUAGCCGUACCGGAAGGUGUGGCUGGAUCACCUCCUUU